AUCCUCACUUCAGCAACACAUAUAUUAAACUUGGAACAAUAUAGAGAAGAUUAGCAUGGCCCCUGCACAAGGAUGGCAUGCAAAUUCGUGAAGUGUUCUAUAUUUAG